rnacentral:tRNA from 1 species
UGCGUCCUUAGUUCAGUUGGUAGAACGUCGGUCUCCAAAACCGAAUGUCGGGGGUUCGAGUCCUCCAGGGCGCGA